rnacentral:rRNA from 1 species
UAGCUAGUUGGUGAGGUAAAGGCUUACCAAGGCGACGAUCUGUAGCGGGUCUGAGAGGAUGAUCCGCCACACUGGAACUGAGACACGGUCCAGACUCCUACGGGAGGCAGCAGUGGGGAAUUUUGGACAAUGGGGGCAACCCUGAUCCAGCCAUGCCGCGUGAGUGAAGAAGGCCUUCGGGUUGUAAAGCUCUUUCGGCCGGGAAGAAAUCGCAUGGGCCAAUACCCUGUGUGGAUGACGGUACCGGAAUAAGAAGCACCGGCUAACUACGUGCCAGCAGCCGCGGUAAUACGUAGGGUGCGAGCGUUAAUCGGAAUUACUGGGCGUAAAGCGUGCGCAGGCGGUUUUGUAAGACAGGCGUGAAAUCCCCGGGCUUAACCUGGGAACUGCGUUUGUGACUGCAAGGCUAGAGUACGGCAGAGGGGGGUGGAAUUCCACGUGUAGCAGUGAAAUGCGUAGAGAUGUGGAGGAACACCAAUGGCGAAGGCAGCCCCCUGGGUCGAUACUGACGCUCAUGCACGAAAGCGUGGGUAGCAAACAGGAUUAGAUACCCUGGUAGUCCACGCCCUAAACUAUGUCAACUAGGUGUUGGGUGGGUAAAACCAUUUAGUACCGUAGCUAACGCGUGAAGUUGACCGCCUGGGGAGUACGGCCGCAAGGUUAAAACUCAAAGGAAUUGACGGGGACCCGCACAAGCGGUGGAUGAUGUGGAUUAAUUCGAUGCAACGCGAAAAACCUUACCUACCCUUGACAUGCCAGGAACUUGCCAGAGAUGGCCUGGUGCCCGAAAGGGAGCCUGGACACAGGUGCUGCAUGGCUGUCGUCAGCUCGUGUCGUGAGAUGUUGGGUUAAGUCCCGCAACGAGCGCAACCCUUGUCGUUAAUUGCCAUCAUUUAGUUGGGCACUUUAACGAGACUGCCGGUGACAAACCGGAGGAAGGUGGGGAUGACGUCAAGUCCUCAUGGCCCUUAUGGGUAGGGCUUCACACGUCAUACAAUGGUCGGUACAAAGGGUUGCCAAGCCGCGAGGCGGAGCCAAUCCCAGAAAGCCGAUCGUAGUCCGGAUUGCAGGCUGCAACUCGCCUGCAUGAAGUCGGAAUCGCUAGUAAUCGUGGAUCAGCAUGUCACGGUGAAUACGUUCCCGGGUCUUGUACACACCGCCCGUCACACCAUGGGAGCGGGUUCCGCCAGAAGUAGGUAGCCUAACCGCAAGGGGGGCGCUUACCACGGCGGGGUUCGUGACUGGGGUGAAGUCGUAACAAGGUAGCCGUAGGGGAACCUGCGGCUG